AACGAACGCUGGCGGCAGGCUUAACACAUGCAAGUCGAACGCACCUUUCGGGGUGAGUGGCAGACGGGUGAGUAACGCGUGGGAAUCUACCCUUCUCUACGGGAUAGCUCCGGGAAACUGGAAUUAAUACCGUAUCCGUCCUGAGGGAGAAAGAUUUAUCGGGGAAGGAUGAGCCCGCGUUGGAUUAGCUAGUUGGUGGGGUAAAGGCCUACCAAGGCGACGAUCCAUAGCUGGUCUAAGAGGAUGAUCAGCCACAUUGGGACUGAGACACGGCCCAAACUCCUACGGGAGGCAGCAGUGGGGAAUAUUGGACAAUGGGCGCAAGCCUGAUCCAGCCAUGCCGCGUGAGUGAUGAAGGCCCUAGGGUUGUAAAGCUCUUUCAGGGGGGACGAUAAUGACGGUACCCACAGAAGAAGCCCCGGCUAACUUCGUG
rnacentral:rRNA from 1 species